ensembl:lncRNA
GUAGAUCUCCUGCCUGAUCUCUGAUCUUCUGCUCCUUCCACCAUCCCAAUCCUGGAUUAUUGAACCAUGACAGAAGUUUCCACUUUUUUUUUCUCCAGCAUCUAAACUGAGAAAGAAAACAAUAACCAAAAUGUAAAUGUAAAAAAAUUAAAAAACAAUGGUUGUCCAAAAUGUAAAGUACUGUAUACACUUGAGUUUUCCCAACUGGUAGAGUGGGAACUGACUUACAGCAUGAAACAAAUUACUAGAAUUUUCAACAAAGUUUUAUAUCAAACCUGCUCCUGGAGGGCUGGUGUCCUGCAGAGUUUAGCUCCAACUUGCCUCAGCACACCUGCCUGGAAGUUUCUAGUAUGCAAAGUAAGACAUUAAUGAGCUGGUUAAGGUGUGUCUAAUUGGGGUUGAAGGUAAACUCUAUUAGGACACCGGCCCUCCAGAACCAAGUUUGGACACUCCUGGGAUAGUACAUACGAACCGUACUGAAACAUGACCCUAAAACCGUUACAAAAACUGGACUGCUACACCUCUAUUAAUUAAACUAAAGCUGUGUCCCAAAGUUGAGUGUGUACACUUCGAAGGCCACGGACUUCGAAGACCAGGCCUCCGAAGUGCACGAAGGGGCCUCCGAAGUGCGUGAGAUGCUCCGCCUUCGUAGGAUUUCCUAAUUCCGCCACCAGGUGUUUCCGAUUAGUGCUCUGUCACAUAGCAACUUUGCGAGAAGAGCGCUGACGAGAGGACAGUCCUGCCAGGACAGGUGGAGUCAGAAUUGCUUGUUUUUGUUUUUAUGUUUUACGUCAUAAUGGAGGAGACGGUGAUGAACCUUUAGGCUUAGCCAAGACCGAGUCCAGACCAGACCCCUGUACUGCAGGAUAAAGCUGAAUGUGGCAGUGCUGGACAGGUGUUUAAUGGUUUUGUUCUGAGCAGGGAGGCCCUGACUGUGCUGCUGGAUCUACUGGGAAGUGAACGGCAACAUGGAUGUGUGCCACGAUCCAGACCCUGGUGUUUCAUACAGAUGGUCUCCAGAGUGUUUGACAGAGAUACCUCGUUCCACUGUCACCGCACUGUCCACCGAGUCUCUGAGGAGGUGCCGGCCAUUCACCAAGAGAUUGACCUCCUGAAGACCCCAGAACACACGGAGGCAGGGCUGGGCUCAAACUGAUGCUGUUUUCUGAUGUU